UAAAUAAAUAUUACAUUUGUUUUAACAUUUUAUCAAAUUUAUGGCAUAAAUUGGUAUUGUUGAAAUGAAAAUAAUAUAUUUACUUAAAAGAAAAUAAACAAAUUUUCGUUGGCAUGUUGAACCACUUGUUUAACCAACAACACCAUAAUUAAUGGCGUCGGCGUUGAAUUAAGUAAUAUUAGGUUUAAUAAAAAACUUUCUAAGGAAAUUUUGUUUCAAUCAAGUUGAAAUAGUAAUCUCGUUAAAUAACAUCAAUGAUUUCAGGAACUACUUUAUAAAUCACUGUUGACUGUUAUGAAACAUGCCUGAUUCGGCUACGUAUUGUGUUAACUACUGGUACAACAAGAGAAGAGAUAAUAAUAAUUAAUUUUACUUUAAGUUUCCGCUUGACGAAACUAGGUAUGUGUAAAUUAUUAAAACGAUACAAAAUAAAAGUUUUGUGUAAUUAAAAUAGUGAUGAGUAUUUUGUUUUCAUGCCCUACAGAAUUUCCUCUUUUUAGGCUGUGUGUAGUCGCACGUUGAGGACAAGCACACAAUACAUUAAUACCUAGGUACUGUUCUAAAUGUCAAUGAGUCUCAAAUUCUGCUCAAACUUGCGUCUUAUAUACUUUAAUUAGUCUAAAUGUUUUGUAUGAAUUUUAUUUUUUGGUCGAGAGGGAGGUGUGGGUAAAAAUUUUGUAUUGCGUAUCCAAGUCUAUCCCUUGAUACUAAUGGCAUUAUCCUGUGGUAAUGAUUCUUGCUGUUUUAACAUUAAUUAAAACAGCAAGCAUCAUGUGCCACCGGAUAAAUCAUACAUGAUCAUGCCAACAGUAUCAAGGGAUAAACUUGGAUACGUGAUACGGAACAAUUACCGAGGUGAGGGUUGCGAUAAAAUGAAGUGUCUUUUAAAUUUUUAUGUUGAAAUUAAGGUUUUUUUCCGUAACAAUUGCUAUACACCUGUCUUCAAGAAGUGAAGAUACGAGAAUGAUUUGUACUUUCACCUAAUCCAUAAAGAAUUGAUGCCAUUGGUAACAGCUUCAUUUCAGUUUUUGUGGGAAAAUUGUACAACUUAGGCAGUUAAAUUAGCCAGAAAUACACAUUGCCUGUGUUAAUGAUUAAAUACUUCUGCACGUUUUUUAUGCAUUAGUUUUGUUUGCGAUUUGUAAUGCAAUUCGGUAGGUACCUACGAAAAUCCUAACCUUAACUUCAAUCAACGUGAUUCUACUAGAACAGAAAUAGUUUCUUGGACAUUAAAAAAUGCAGCAAUUUAAUAUAAUCCAAAAAUAUGUUACAUGUUAUGCAUUUUAACAAAUGUUAUGAUACGUAAACAAAACAUUUUUAACCGAAAUGAGGUUAAGGCAAACACUGUCCCGAAGGUAAGAAAUUUACUUAUUGUUUUAAAAAUAUUGCUCUCCUAAAUCAUUUUAUGUUACGUUUACCGAUAUUUAGUUAAAUGAUUUGCUUAUAAGGAAAAAAAAAUUAAAAUCCAUAUUUUUAUAAAUAUUAAUGCAUGCACGAAAAAAGUCACAAGCUCGCCAACAUUCAGUUGAAGCUACAAAUUUCCCUACUAUUCAAAUUAGUGUUUUAAGCAUAUUAACUGCAAAUUGUACUUUCUACGAACAAUGUUGUAUUUAAAUUAAAAUUUACUUAUAAUUUGAAACGUAAGUCUUACUCCAGAAGGUAUUUUAUCUCGGUUUUAAGCCAUUGCAACUUCAUUUUAAUGUUUGUCAAGUUUGCGUUUUUGUAUAGCAACUAGAGCAUUUCUGAAUAAAAAAAACGUAGAACUGCAAUAGCAUUGAGUGUCCACUCUGUACUAGUACUUUAUUUACUCUAUGGGCUAACCUAGCGGGUGGAUGAACCGGCCGCUAGCUGCUUAACCGGAGGCUAAGCAUGCAACAGAAAAUAAAAUGGCGAUGUAUCAGGCGAUGUUAGUUGUUGUUAGUGAUGAUGACUAUUUGAGGAAUUCUAUUGAAUAUUUGCAGGAUGCGAUGGAAUAAUUUAUUACUAAAUGUAAAAUGCUUCGCUUUCGUCAAAGUUUUAUUAAAAAUUACAUGGCAUGAAAGUGUAGUCACGCUUUUCUAUUCUCGUCGAGUCGUGUAUUAUUAUUUGACUUUAAUUGAUCACGAAGUACAUAAACGUAUGCUAUGUAUAUAAACUUAAAUGUUCCUGCUUAAGAAUAUGUGUAAAUAAGUGAAUUUUAAAAUUGCAAAACGAGGGUUAUUAUUACCGGUAGGUACCUAUAAAAUGCGUGUUUUCGUGGAAGUUGUAUCUGUGAAUUUUUAUUCGUAAUACAGUGGACAUAUGCCGGGAAUGAAAUGCACUUCAUACGACUUCAGACGUGGUUAUAAUUCAAUAAAUACAAUUGAAUGUGAAAAUAAAUGUUACCCAAUUAUCCCUUCCCUAUUUUACAAACCAUUAGGUACUUAUUUACCUGCCACGCAAGUGAAAAACGAAAACAGCACUGGAAUUAUUCUGUUUACCGUAUCCAAGUUUAUCCCUUGAUCCUAUCGGCAUGACCCUUUAUAUGUUGGUCUUGUUUUACAUUAUACUUGCUGUUUUAAUUUAGAAUGUUGAAAAAUCCUGUACACAACACAAAAUACCUAACAUAUCACGAUGCAAACAAAUUAUGUCAGGUCUUGUAAAAAUAUAUUUCUUUCGUAUACAUUUUACAAUCAUAAUUAUUUCCCCAGUGAAUAUAUCUAGGAUCUCUCGAUCUACUAAAUUAAAACAGCAAACAUCCUAUACCACAAACUAAUUCCAUCAGGAUCGGAUUCAUUUGGAUACGUGAUACGAAACUAUUAGUACAAAAAUGAAACCUACACCAGUGAAAUGAAAAUUGACAAGUAUUUUCCCGAAACGGGGUCUAUAUUAUUUGAUUAUGAAAUAAAUUUAUGAAAGAAAUAAGUGUUCUCUAGCAAAAAUGUCAUCCCUAUUUAUUUGUUGGUAUAGAAUUACUUCGUUAGUUUUGGCUUAAUAUAUAACCUAACAAAAUCAUGAGUUCCAAUACAAGAGUAAAGUUGAAAACACACGGUUUUGAAUCGUAAAUUGUAAUUUUAUGGUUUAAUACAAAGCAGGUUUGACGUCAAAGUAGUUUUUGGUUAAUUUAAUUAUAUCUGUUGCAAGAUAAAGUUCGCGGCAUAUUUCUUUACUGCAGCUGUAAAUAUUCCGAAUCACAAUACAAACAAACAGCUGACUAACAUUCUACCAGAAAAAAUAACUGUCUUGCAACAAAAGUUACCAAAUUCUGUUUUAUUUCAUUACCAACACACCCAUUAUUACACCACACGCUUCGUCAGGUUACGGUUAGCCAACCGCAGGCUAAGUAUGGGUCAUAAUACACCCCUCGUUCGUUAACCGGAGGCUAGCCUUACCUGGAGGCUAGCUAACCUGAGGAUUUAGCCGGAGGUCAUAAUAUCGGCCCUUAUUGAACGUUUUGUUGUGAGGGCAAGAUGAGCAACAGCUGACUGUUGGUGACGAGUACACAGGGUAUAUGGGGUUAUUGUGUAUCAACGUGGUUAUUUUACCAUUUAAAUGGUUAUUUCUUGUGUCGCAUAUGGUUGUACGCAAACAUUUAAAAAAGGAAGAAAUAUUUCAUUUCACAGCAGUUCAUCCACUGACAGUGCUGAACCACCAAAGAAAAAACCACGUCCGUUAAGGAAAGCAUACAUUGGUGAUUUUACUAACAGUGAUUAAAUAGUAAAAUCACCAAGAAAAGCACAGGCUUUUAUGCAAGUUGUGAAGCAGAAACUUAGUGCAACGAGAAAAAAGUUGAAAAUGUCAUGCCAAAAAUUUGUUCUGAAUGUUUACUGUUUUAUUUUGAAUAGUUGUAUAUUUAACAGUAAACUUGGUAUAUUGGAGUUGUGGGUUUUUCUGCUUUUCAUUCAGUUGCUUACUAACUUAGUUUUUCUUUAGGUGUAUAAAAUGUGUUAACAUGUCUCCCCACAUGUUUAUAUGCAUUAUGUCAUACAGCAUAAGAUUGACAUUACUUUUUCAGUGGUGCACAAUUUUGUGUAAUUACGACAAGACCAAAUUGUAAAUAGAAGUUUAUUAGGUAAAGUGCAAAAAUGGAUGCAUGUCACAUUAAAUAUUAGGUGAACAAAUAUGGAUAAUCUAAGUAAAUAAUUUAUUUUGCACUAAAGUAGUAUUGUACCAUAUAACAAACAUUUACGUUUGGCGGGGUAUACUGACCACAAAUAUAUUUGCUAUAAAAGUUUUUUGCUGGCUCUGUUGUGCCACAGUAGAAGACAAACCUGUGCUGAAAAUGCAGGGAGAAAACUCUUGUCAACUAUUUAUAAAAAAUUUGUAAUUACUAUCACUCAAAAUUAAGUUUUGCUAUGAUGAAUCCUAAAUUAAUAGUACAUAGGUCAUUGUAUAUUUUGUUAUUCCAAAGAAGAUUGUAAUUUCAUGUUACUUAUGUAAAAGAAUUAGGUCAAACUUUAACAAUUCAGUAAAAAGCUAUUUCAGGUUGAAGUUCACUUAUUGGGAAUUUGUCACAACUUUUCUUAGAUUAACAACCUUGUACACCAUGAUGUUAUUACGAUUAUUGUUCAAAUAAACGUGUAUGUUUUUUAUCCAAUACAAUGUACAAUUAUCUCAGAAGCUAGCAUUCAAUGGCUUGGCUCUUAGGUUAUGCCCUCAAAAACUCCUCCUAACUUAUUAUCAAACAAAAUAAUAAUAAUGUCCAAACACCUAAUUGUGAAACCAAUUACAUGUAUCUUUAAGGAAGCACUGGUAGAAGGAGUGGUACCUGAUUGUUUAAAAUUAACUAGGAUCCUGCCUCUCUAUAAAAAAGGUAACCCAACAAAUCCAGAAAACUAUAGGCCUAUUAGUAUCCUACCUACAAUGGCAAAAAUAUUUGAAUGGGUUGUAUAUAAAAUACUUAUUUCAUUUUUUUUACCCAUAACAUCAUAUUAAAUAGAAGUCAAUAUGGUUUCCAAAAACAUAAAACAUCAGCAGCUAUUAAUGAAUUCAUAAAUAAAGUCUUAAAUGUACUGGAUAAUAAUACCUUAUCAUUAGGAAUUUUUUGUGAUUUAUCCAAAGCUUUUGACUUAGUCAAUCAUGCAAUUCUCCUAGAUAAACUAUAUCACUACGGCAUAAGGGGCACAGCAAACAAAUUAAUGGAAUCAUAUCUGAAAGAAAGGAAACAGAGGGUAGAAAUUAAAAAUGUAAUUGGUAAGAAAUAUUCAAAUUGGUCAAUUGUCAGAAAUGGGGUGCCACAGGGCACCAAGGUCAGCUUAUCCUUUUUGCAGAUGACACAUCAGUUAUAAUCACUGGGGAAACUUCAAAAUCAGUAUAGGAGACCAACAGAGCCAUUGAACGUAUGAAAAAUUGGUUCUCAUACAACAAACUUGCAUUGAAUGUCUCUAAAACUAAUUAUAUUAAAUUCAGAAAUAGGACCAAAGUAAAUGAAAACAAGUUUAACAUAAAAUUCAAUGGAAACAAUAUCUUACAGGUUAACUCAGUAAAAUUCUUAGGGGUAUAUAUUGAUAAGCAAUUAAAAUUUACGGAACACAUAACUAAUAUUGCGAAAAAAUUAAAUUCAGCCUGCUAUGUCUUGAGGUACCUUGUAGAAUUAGUCGAUUUAAAAACAAUUAAAACUGUGUAUCAUGCAUAUUUCCAUACAAUCAUGUCAUACAAUAAUGAAAUCUGGGGAAAUGCCAAACUAAAUGGAAAUAUACAAAAACUCCAAAAAAAAGCCAUUUGAAUAAUAACUAAAGAUAAAAAUGUAUCUAGUUGCAGAAAAAAUAUUUAAGAAAUUAGGAAUACUAACAUUUACAAAUGAAUUCAUAUACAGAACAUUAAUUUUCUGCUAUAGACACCAAACCAAAUUUAAAAGAAAUAAAGAUGUCCAUCAUCAUAAUACUCGAGGCUGCAAUAAAUUGAGACCCAUACAACACACCACUACUCAAUUUGAGAUCGGAAUAGAGCACAUUGGCAGAAUAAUAUUUAAUACCUUACAAUACAAAAUAAUGGAAAUCAGCAACAUACACAAAUACAAAGCUUCCAUAAAAAAAAUACACUUGUAUGCAAUCCAUUUUACAAUUUAAAAGAAUUUAUGGAUUAUACUGCUGAAAGAGGGGAAGCAUUCUGGUUACAGUAGCCUCCCUUGUAUAGCUACAAUGACUAAGAACAAUAUCCUAAUACCCUAAAUCCUGCUUAAUUUUUUUUAUAAGAAAAAAUAUAGGAAUUGCUUGACAUUUAAUGUUUAUGGGUACUACCUAUGUAUAAAAGAAAUUAUGUUAUAUUUGUAAUUCAGAUUAUCUGAAAAAUUGUAUUACUAUUUGUUUUACUUCAAAGUUAUGUGUAUGUAAAACUGUAAAUAUGUAAAUAUGUAAAUGACAUGGUCCAUAGCCUUAUGGUUUCUACCAAAAGAAGGCUCAAUGUAAUACAAUUAAAAUAAAUAAAUAAAUAAACAAACUUA